CACGUAGGAGGCGAGCGUUGUCCGGAAUCAUUGGGCGUAAAGAGCGCGCAGGCGGCUUUGCAAGUCGGGUGUGAAAUCCCGGGGCUCAACCCCGUGACUGCAUCCGAUACUGUCAGGCUAGAGGUAGGUAGGGGAGAUCGGAAUUCCUGGUGUAGCGGUGAAAUGCGCAGAUAUCAGGAGGAACACCGGUGGCGAAGGCGGAUCUCUGGGCCUUACCUGACGCUCAGGCGCGAAAGCUAGGGGAGCGAAUGGG
rnacentral:rRNA from 1 species